AGCGGAGGAAAAGAAACCAACAGGGAUUGCCCUAGUAACGGCGAGUGAAGCGGCAACAGCUCAAAUUUGAAAUCUGGCCCCGGCCCGAGUUGUAAUUUGCAGAGGAUGCUUCUGGCGCGGUGCCUUCUGAGUUCCCUGGAACGGGACGCCAUAGAGGGUGAGAGCCCCGUACGGUUGGACACCUAGCCUGUGUGAAGCUCCUUCGACGAGUCGAGUAGUUUGGGAAUGCUGCUCAAAAUGGGAGGUAUAUCUCUUCUAAAGCUAAAUACCGGCCAGAGACCGAUAGCGCACAAGUAGAGUGAUCGAAAGAUGAAAAGCACCUUGAAAAGGGGGUUAAACAGCACGUGAAAUUGUUGAAAGGGAAGCGCCUAUGACCAGACUUGUGUCUGGCGGAUCACCCAGCGUUCUCGCUGGGGCACUCCGCCAGGUCCAGGCCAGCAUCGGUUUUCGCCGGGGGAUAAAGGCUCUGGGAACGUAGCUCCUCCGGGAGUGUUAUAGCCCUCUGCGUAAUACCCUGGCGGGGACCGAGGUACGCGCUCCGCAAGGAUGCUGGCGUAAUGGUCAUCAGCGACCCGUCUUGAAACACGGACC
rnacentral:rRNA from 1 species